rnacentral:siRNA from 1 species
AGUUGUUAUUUCUGCGGCAGACA